CUACGGACUUAAUUGAUUGAGCCUCGGUAUGAAAACCUACUAAGUGGUUACUUUCAAAUUCAGAAAAACCCCGUAAUUAAUAAAAAUGGGCAAUCCUGAGCCAAAUCCUAAUAUUGAUUACUAUCUCAAAAAAAAAAAAAAUAAGUAUUUUCCCUUCUUUGAUUUCUUAUUGAAAACCCGUAUUUGAUUCAACCAAAUUGGGUUUUAUCAUUUCUGUAUCGACAAUUCAAUAUAGAUGGAUAUGACAUGCCCGAUUACAUGUCCCUUACAAGAAGGGAGGCUAG
rnacentral:sRNA from 1 species